AUGUGGAUUAAUUCGAUGCAACGCGAAAACCUUAACCUACCCUUCGACAUGUCCGGAAUCCGAAGAGAUUUGGGAGUGCUCGCAAGAGAGCCGGAACACAGGUGCUGCAUGGCUGUCGUCAGCUCGUGUCGUGAGAUGUUGGGUUAAGUCCCGCAACGAGCGCAACCCUUGUCAUUAGUUGCCAUCAUUUGGUUGGGCACUCUAAUGAGACUGCCGGUGACAAACCGGAGGAAGGUGGGGAUGACGUCAAGUCCUCAUGGCCCUUAUAGGUGGGGCUACACACGUCAUACAAUGGCCGGUACAGAGGGUAGCCAACCCGCGAGGGGGAGCCAAUCCCACAAAGCCGGUCGUAGUCCGGAUCGCAGUCUGCAACUCGACUGCGUGAAGUCGGAAUCGCUAGUAAUCGCGGAUCAGCAUGUCGCGGUGAAUACGUUCCCGGGUCUU
rnacentral:rRNA from 1 species